UGGCGGCGUGCUUAACACAUGCAAGUCGAACGAAGCACCUUAUUCUGAUUUCUUCGGAAUGAAAAAUUUGGUGACUGAGUGGCGGACGGGUGAGUAACGCGUGGGUAACCUGCCUCAUACAGGGGGAUAACAGUUAGAAAUGACUGCUAAUACCGCAUAAGACCACAGCACCGCAUGGUGCAGGGGUAAAAACUCCGGUGGUAUGAGAUGGACCCGCGUCUGAUUAGGUAGUUGGUGGGGUAACGGCCUACCAAGCCGACGAUCAGUAGCCGACCUGAGAGGGUGACCGGCCACAUUGGGACUGAGACACGGCCCAAACUCCUACGGGAGGCAGCAGUGGGGAAUAUUGCACAAUGGGGGAAACCCUGAUGCAGCGACGCCGCGUGAGCGAUGAAGUAUUUCGGUAUGUAAAGCUCUAUCAGCAGGGAAGAAAAUGACGGUACCUGACUAAGAAGCACCGGCUAAAUACGUGCCAGCAGCCGCGGUAAUACGUAUGGUGCAAGCGUUAUCCGGAUUUACUGGGUGUAAAGGGAGCGUAGACGGAGUGGCAAGUCUGAUGUGAAAACCCGGGGCUCAACCCCGGGACUGCAUUGGAAACUGUCAAUCUAGAGUACCGGAGAGGUAAGCGGAAUUCCUAGUGUAGCGGUGAAAUGCGUAGAUAUUAGGAGGAAUACCAGUGGCGAAGGCGGCUUACUGGACGGUAACUGACGUUGAGGCUCGAAAGCGUGGGGAGCAAACAGGAUUAGAUACCCUGGUAGUCCACNCCGUAAACGCCCCCUAUUGGGUGUUGGGCAGCAAAGCUUUUCGGUGCCGCCAGCAAACGCAAUAAGUAGUCCCCCUGGGGAGUACGUUCGCAAGAAUGAAACUCAAAGGAAUGGACGGGGACCCGCACAAGCGGUGGAGCAUGUGGUUUAAUUGGAAGCAACGCGAAGAACCUUACCUGCUCUUGACAUCUCCCUGACCGGCAAGUAAUGUUGCCUUUCCUUCGGGACAGGGAUGACAGGUGGUGCAUGGUUGUCGUCAGCUCGUGUCGUGAGAUGUUGGGUUAAGUCCCGCAACGAGCGCAACCCCUAUCUUUAGUAGCCAGCGGUUCGGCCGGGCACUCUAGAGAGACUGCCAGGGAUAACCUGGAGGAAGGUGGGGAUGACGUCAAAUCAUCAUGCCCCUUAUGAGCAGGGCUACACACGUGCUACAAUGGCGUAAACAAAGGGAGGCAGAACCGCGAGGUCGAGCAAAUCCCAAGAAUAACGUCUCAGUUCGGAUUGUAGUCUGCAACUCGACUACAUGAAGCUGGAAUCGCUAGUAAUCGCGAAUCAGAAUGUCGCGGUGAAUACGUUCCCGGGUCUUGCACA
rnacentral:rRNA from 1 species